rnacentral:rRNA from 1 species
GGGUUGUGAGGUUAAGCGACUAAGCGUACACGGUGGAUGCCCUGGCAGUCAGAGGCGAUGAAGGACGUGCUAAUCUGCGAUAAGCGUCGGUAAGGUGAUAUGAACCGUUAUAACCGGCGAUUUCCGAAUGGGGAAACCCAGUGUGAUUCGUCACACUAUCAUUAACUGAAUCCAUAGGUUAAUGAGGCGAACCGGGGGAACUGAAACAUCUAAGUACCCCGAGGAAAAGAAAUCAACCGAGAUUCCCCCAGUAGCGGCGAGCGAACGGGGAGGAGCCCAGAGCCUGAAUCAGUGUGUGUGUUAGUGGAAGCGUCUGGAAAGGCGCGCGAUACAGGGUGACAGCCCCGUACACAAAAAUGCACAUGCUGUGAGCUCGAUGAGUAGGGCGGGACACGUGGUAUCCUGUCUGAAUAUGGGGGGACCAUCCUCCAAGGCUAAAUACUCCUGACUGACCGAUAGUGAACCAGUACCGUGAGGGAAAGGCGAAAAGAACCCCGGCGAGGGGAGUGAAAAAGAACCUGAAACCGUGUACGUACAAGCAGUGGGAGCACGCUUAGGCGUGUGACUGCGUACCUUUUGUAUAAUGGGUCAGCGACUUAUAUUCUGUAGCAAGGUUAACCGAAUAGGGGAGCCGAAGGGAAACCGAGUCUUAACUGGGCGUUAAGUUGCAGGGUAUAGACCCGAAACCCGGUGAUCUAGCCAUGGGCAGGUUGAAGGUUGGGUAACACUAACUGGAGGACCGAACCGACUAAUGUUGAAAAAUUAGCGGAUGACUUGUGGCUGGGGGUGAAAGGCCAAUCAAACCGGGAGAUAGCUGGUUCUCCCCGAAAGCUAUUUAGGUAGCGCCUCGUGAAUUCAUCUCCGGGGGUAGAGCACUGUUUCGGCAAGGGGGUCAUCCCGACUUACCAACCCGAUGCAAACUGCGAAUACCGGAGAAUGUUAUCACGGGAGACACACGGCGGGUGCUAACGUCCGUCGUGAAGAGGGAAAUAACCCAGACCGCCAGCUAAGGUCCCAAAGUCAUGGUUAAGUGGGAAACGAUGUGGGAAGGCCCAGACAGCCAGGAUGUUGGCUUAGAAGCAGCCAUCAUUUAAAGAAAGCGUAAUAGCUCACUGGUCGAGUCGGCCUGCGCGGAAGAUGUAACGGGGCUAAACCAUGCACCGAAGCUGCGGCAGCGACGCUGAUGCGUUGUUGGGUAGGGGAGCGUUCUGUAAGCCUGCGAAGGUGUGCUGUGAGGCAUGCUGGAGGUAUCAGAAGUGCGAAUGCUGACAUAAGUAACGAUAAAGCGGGUGAAAAGCCCGCUCGCCGGAAGACCAAGGGUUCCUGUCCAACGUUAAUCGGGGCAGGGUGAGUCGACCCCUAAGGCGAGGCCGAAAGGCGUAGUCGAUGGGAAACAGGUUAAUAUUCCUGUACUUGGUGUUACUGCGAAGGGGGGACGGAGAAGGCUAUGUUGGCCGGGCGACGGUUGUCCCGGUUUAAGCGUGUAGGCUGGUUUUCCAGGCAAAUCCGGAAAAUCAAGGCUGAGGCGUGAUGACGAGGCACUACGGUGCUGAAGCAACAAAUGCCCUGCUUCCAGGAAAAGCCUCUAAGCAUCAGGUAACAUCAAAUCGUACCCCAAACCGACACAGGUGGUCAGGUAGAGAAUACCAAGGCGCUUGAGAGAACUCGGGUGAAGGAACUAGGCAAAAUGGUGCCGUAACUUCGGGAGAAGGCACGCUGAUAUGUAGGUGAAGUCCCUCGCGGAUGGAGCUGAAAUCAGUCGAAGAUACCAGCUGGCUGCAACUGUUUAUUAAAAACACAGCACUGUGCAAACACGAAAGUGGACGUAUACGGUGUGACGCCUGCCCGGUGCCGGAAGGUUAAUUGAUGGGGUCAGCGCAAGCGAAGCUCUUGAUCGAAGCCCCGGUAAACGGCGGCCGUAACUAUAACGGUCCUAAGGUAGCGAAAUUCCUUGUCGGGUAAGUUCCGACCUGCACGAAUGGCGUAAUGAUGGCCAGGCUGUCUCCACCCGAGACUCAGUGAAAUUGAACUCGCUGUGAAGAUGCAGUGUACCCGCGGCAAGACGGAAAGACCCCGUGAACCUUUACUAUAGCUUGACACUGAACAUUGAGCCUUGAUGUGUAGGAUAGGUGGGAGGCUUUGAAGUGUGGACGCCAGUCUGCAUGGAGCCGACCUUGAAAUACCACCCUUUAAUGUUUGAUGUUCUAACGUUGACCCGUGAUCCGGGUUGCGGACAGUGUCUGGUGGGUAGUUUGACUGGGGCGGUCUCCUCCUAAAGAGUAACGGAGGAGCACGAAGGUUGGCUAAUCCUGGUCGGACAUCAGGAGGUUAGUGCAAUGGCAUAAGCCAGCUUGACUGCGAGCGUGACGGCGCGAGCAGGUGCGAAAGCAGGUCAUAGUGAUCCGGUGGUUCUGAAUGGAAGGGCCAUCGCUCAACGGAUAAAAGGUACUCCGGGGAUAACAGGCUGAUACCGCCCAAGAGUUCAUAUCGACGGCGGUGUUUGGCACCUCGAUGUCGGCUCAUCACAUCCUGGGGCUGAAGUAGGUCCCAAGGGUAUGGCUGUUCGCCAUUUAAAGUGGUACGCGAGCUGGGUUUAGAACGUCGUGAGACAGUUCGGUCCCUAUCUGCCGUGGGCGCUGGAGAACUGAGGGGGGCUGCUCCUAGUACGAGAGGACCGGAGUGGACGCAUCACUGGUGUUCGGGUUGUCAUGCCAAUGGCACUGCCCGGUAGCUAAAUGCGGAAGAGAUAAGUGCUGAAAGCAUCUAAGCACGAAACUUGCCCCGAGAUGAGUUCUCCCUGACUCCUUGAGAGUCCUGAAGGAACGUUGAAGACGACGACGUUGAUAGGCCGGGUGUGUAAGCGCAGCGAUGCGUUGAGCUAACCGGUACUAAUGAACCGUGAGGCUUAACCUUACAACGCCGAAGGUGUUU